UGGGGAAUAUUGCACAAUGGGCGAAAGCCUGAUGCAGCAACGCCGCGUGAGUGAUGAAGGCCUUCGGGUUGUAAAGCUCUGUCUUUUGGGACGAUAAUGACGGUACCAAAGGAGGAAGCCACGGCUAACUACGUGCCAGCAGCCGCGGUAAUACGUAGGUGGCAAGCGUUGUCCGGAUUUACUGGGCGUAAAGGAUGCGUAGGCGGAUUUUUAAGUGAGAUGUGAAAACCCUAAGCUUAACUUGGGGACUGCAUUUCAUACUGGAAAUCUAGAGUGCGGGAGAGGAGAAUGGAAUUCCUAGUGUAGCGGUGAAAUGCGUAGAGAUUAGGAAGAACACCAGUGGCGAAGGCGAUUCUCUGGACCGUAACUGACGCUGAGGCAUGAAAGCGUGGGUAGCAAACAGGAUUAGAUACCCUGGUAGUCCACGCCGUAAACGAUGAGUACUAGGUGUAGGAGGUAUCGACCCCUUCUGUGCCGCAGUUAACACAAUAAGUACUCCGCCUGGGAAGUACGAUCGCAAGAUUAAAACUUAAAGGAAUUGACGGGGUCAUAGCUGUUUCCU
rnacentral:rRNA from 1 species